rnacentral:rRNA from 1 species
AACGUACGCUGGCGGCACGCCUAACACAUGCAAGUCGAACGAAGUAGCAAUACUUAGUGGCGAACGGGUGAGUAACACGUGAGCAAUCUGCCCCCGACUCUGGGAUAACCCCGAGAAAUCGGAGCUAAUACCGGAUACGACACCUCCUGGCAUCAGGUGGGUGUGGAAAGAAUUUCGGUUGGGGAUGAGCUCGCGGCCUAUCAGCUUGUUGGUGAGGUAAUGGCUCACCAAGGCGACGACGGGUAGCCGGCCUGAGAGGGUGACCGGCCACACUGGGACUGAGACACGGCCCAGACUCCUACGGGAGGCAGCAGUGGGGAAUAUUGCACAAUGGGCGCAAGCCUGAUGCAGCAACGCCGCGUGGGGGACGAAGGCCUUCGGGUUGUAAACCUCUUUUGGCAGGGAAGAAGCGAAAGUGACGGUACCUGCAGAAAAAGCACCGGCUAACUACG